rnacentral:rRNA from 1 species
GACGAACGCUGGCGGCGUGCUUAACACAUGCAAGUCGAACGGAAAGGCCCUGCUUUUGUGGGGUGCUCGAGUGGCGAACGGGCGAGUAACACGUGAGUAACCUGCCCUUGACUUUGGGAUAACUUCAGGAAACUGGGGCUAAUACCGGAUAGGAGCUCCUGCUGCAUGGUGGGGGUUGGAAAGUUUCGGCGGUUGGGGAUGGACUCGCGGCUUAUCAGCUUGUUGGUGGGGUAGUGGCUUACCAAGGCUUUGACGGGUAGCCGGCCUGAGAGGGUGACCGGCCACAUUGGGACUGAGAUACGGCCCAGACUCCUACGGGAGGCAGCAGUGGGGAAUAUUGCACAAUGGGCGGAAGCCUGAUGCAGCAACGCCGCGCGCGGGAUGACGGCCUUCGGGUUGUAAACCGCUUUCGCCUGUGACGAAGCGUGAGUGACGGUAAUGGGUAAAGAAGCACCGGCUAACUACGUGCCAGCAGCCGCGGUGAUACGUAGGGUGCGAGCGUUGUCCGGAUUUAUUGGGCGUAAAGGGCUCGUAGGUGGUUGAUCGCGUCGGAAGUGUAAUCUUGGGGCUUAACCCUGAGCGUGCUUUCGAUACGGGUUGACUUGAGGAAGGUAGGGGAGAAUGGAAUUCCUGGUGGAGCGGUGGAAUGCGCAGAUAUCAGGAGGAACACCAGUGGCGAAGGCGGUUCUCUGGGCCUUUCCUGACGCUGAGGAGCGAAAGCGUGGGGAGCGAACAGGCUUAGAUACCCUGGUAGUCCACGCUGUAAACGGUGGGUACUAGGUGUGGGGUCCAUUCCACGGGUUCCGUGCCGUAGCUAACGCUUUAAGUACCCCGCCUGGGGAGUACGGCCGCAAAGCUAAAACUCAAAGGAAUUGACGGGGCCCCGCACAAGCGGCGGAGCAUGCGGAUUAAUUCGAUGCAACGCGUAGAACCUUACCUGGGUUUGACAUGGAUCGGGAGUGCUCAGAGAUGGGUGUGCCUCUUUUGGGGUCGGUUCACAGGUGGUGCAUGGCUGUCGUCAGCUCGUGUCGUGAGAUGUUGGGUUAAGUCCCGCAACGAGCGCAACCCUUGUUCACUGUUGCCAGCACGUUAUGGUGGGGACUCAGUGGAGACCGCCGGGGUCAACUCGGAGGAAGGUGGGGAUGACGUCAAGUCAUCAUGCCCCUUAUGUCCAGGGCUUCACGCAUGCUACAAUGGCUGGUACAGAGAGUGGCGAGCCUGUGAGGGUGAGCGAAUCUCGGAAAGCCGGUCUCAGUUCGGAUUGGGGUCUGCAACUCGACCUCAUGAAGUCGGAGUCGCUAGUAAUCGCAGAUCAGCAACGCUGCGGUGAAUACGUUCCCGGG